rnacentral:rRNA from 1 species
UACGGAGGGCGCAAGCGUUGUUCGGAAUUACUGGGCGUAAAGCGCGUGUAGGCGGUCUGGUAAGUCGGUUGUGAAAUCCCCGGGCUCAACCCGGGAACUGCGAGCGAAACUGCUGGGCUAGAGUUCCGGAGAGGAAGGCAGAAUUCCCAAUGUAGGGGUGAAAUCCGUAGAUAUUGGGAGGAAUACCAGUGGCGAAGGCGGCCUUCUGGACGGUGACUGACGCUGAGACGCGAAAGCGUGGGGAGCAAACAGG